rnacentral:rRNA from 1 species
UUCCGUAGGUGAACCUGCGGAAGGAUCAUUAACGAAUUACAAAAGUCGGCCUUGCUGUUGCUGGUGGAAACACAUGUGCACGCUCGGUCGCAAAUCCACACACCUGUGCAUCUAUGACUCGAGGUUGUCGUCGUAUGACCGAGAGUAACUUUUACACACUCUUGAAUGUAACGGAAUGUCUUUUGUGCAUAAUGUACAUUUAAACAACUUUCAACAACGGAUCUCUUGGCUCUCGCAUCGAUGAAGAACGCAGCGAAAUGCGAUAAGUAAUGUGAAUUGCAGAAUUCAGUGAAUCAUCGAAUCUUUGAACGCACCUUGCACCCUUUGGUAUUCCGAAGGGUACGCCCGUUUGAGUGUCAUUGUAAUCUCACUUCUAUACCUUUUGGUGUUAGAAUGUGGACUUGGACGUCUGCCGUGUCACAGCGGCUCGUCUUAAAUGCCUGAGUGUACCCCGCUUUGCGGCGUAUUCGGUGUGAUAAACAUUUCACYGGAGUUGGUCUCUGACCGCGCUUUUAGCAAUUGGUGGGCUCUAUGCUUUCCAACCGUCYGUAAUGGACAAUCUUUGACAAUUUGACCUCAAAUCGGGCGGGACUACCCGCUGAACUUAAGCAUAUCAAUAAGCGGAGGAAAAGAAACUAACAAGGAUUCCCCUAGUAACGGCGAGUGAAGAGGGAAAAGCUCAAAUUUUGAAUCUGGUGUCUUUGACCCCCGAGUUGUAAUCUAGAGAAGUGUUUUCCGUGUCGGACCGUGUACAAGUUCCCUGGAACGGGGCGUCAUAGAGGGUGAGAAUCCCGUAUAUGCCACGGACUACCGAUGCUCUGUGAUACACUCUCAACGAGUCGAGUUGUUUGGGAAUGCAGCUCAAAAUGGGUGGUAAAUUCCAUCUAAAGCUAAAUAUUGGCGAGAGACCGAUAGCGAACAAGUACCGUGAGGGAAAGAUGAAAAGCACUUUGGAAAGAGAGUGAAACAGUACGUGAAAUUGUUGAAAGGGAAGCGUUUGAAGUCAGUCACAUCUGUUGGGAUUCAGCCUGGCUUCUGCCUGGUGUAUUUCCUUUCCGAUGGGUCAGCAUCAGUUUUGACCAAGGGAAAAAGACAUUUGGAAUGUGGCUGUCUUCGGGCAGUGUUAUAGCCUUGUGUUGUAUGUCUUGGUUGGGACUGAGGAACGCAGCGCGCCAUUUUGGCCGGGGGUCGCUCCUCUCGACACGCGCUUAGGAUGCUGGCAUAAUGGCUUUAAGCGGCCCGUCUUG